rnacentral:rRNA from 1 species
GGUCAAGCUACAAGGCUCACGGCGAUACCUUGUCACACAAAGCGAUGAAGAAGUAGUUACUCUGCGAUAGUCUCGGGAGCUGGAGACACGCUUGCAUCU